CGUGCCAGCAGCCGCGGUAAUACGUAGGUGGCAAGCGUUAUCCGGAAUUAUUGGGCGUAAAGCGCGCGUAGGCGGUUUUUUAAGUCUGAUGUGAAAGCCCACGGCUCAACCGUGGAGGGUCAUUGGAAACUGGAAAACUUGAGUGCAGAAGAGGAAAGUGGAAUUCCAUGUGUAGCGGUGAAAUGCGCAGAGAUAUGGAGGAACACCAGUGGCGAAGGCGACUUUCUGGUCUGUAACUGACGCUGAUGUGCGAAAGCGUGGGGAUCAAACAGGAUUAGAUACCCUGGUAGUCCACGCCGUAAACGAUGAGUGCUAAGUGUUAGGGGGUUUCCGCCCCUUAGUGCUGCAGCUAACGCAUUAAGCACUCCGCCUGGGGAGUACGACCGCAAGGUUGAAACUCAAAGGAAUUGACGGGGACCCGCACAAG
rnacentral:rRNA from 1 species